ACUCCUACGGGAGGCAGCAGUGGGGAAUAUUGCACAAUGGGGGAAACCCUGAUGCAGCCAUGCCGCGUGUGUGAAGAAGGCCUUCGGGUUGUAAAGCACUUUCAGCGAGGAGGAAAGGGUGUGUGCUAAUACCAUACAUCUGUGACGUUACUCGCAGAAGAAGCACCGGCUAACUCCGUGCCAGCAGCCGCGGUAAUACGGAGGGUGCGAGCGUUAUCCGGAUUUAUUGGGUUUAAAGGGUCCGUAGGCGGGUUAAUAAGUCAGUGGUGAAAUCCCAUCGCUUAACGAUGGAACUGCCAUUGAUACUGUUAGUCUUGAAUGAGGGUGCAGUGGUUGGAAUGUGUAGUGUAGCGGUGAAAUGCAUAGAUAUUACACAGAACACCGAUUGCGAAGGCAGAUCACUAACCCUAAAUUGACGCUGAGGGAGAAAGCGUGGGGAGCGAACAGGAUUAGAUACCCUGGUAGCGAGUAG
rnacentral:rRNA from 1 species